CCUACGGGAGGCAGCAGUGGGGAAUUUUGGACAAUGGGCGCAAGCCUGAUCCAGCCAUGCCGCGUGUGGGAAGAAGGCCUUCGGGUUGUAAACCACUUUUGUCAGGGAAGAAACGGCUCUUACUAAUAUUAGGAGCUAAUGACGGUACCUGAAGAAUAAGCACCGGCUAACUACGUGCCAGCAGCCGCGGUAAUACGUAGGGUGCAAGCGUUAAUCGGAAUUACUGGGCGUAAAGCGUGCGCAGGCGGCUUUGCAAGACAGAUGUGAAAUCCCCGGGCUCAACCUGGGAACUGCAUUUGUGACUGCAUGGCUAGAGUACGGUAGAGGGGGAUGGAAUUCCGCGUGUAGCAGUGAAAUGCGUAGAUAUGCGGAGGAACACCGAUGGCGAAGGCAAUCCCCUGGACCUGUACUGACGCUCAUGCACGAAAGCGUGGGGAGCAAACAGGAUUAGAUACCCUGGUAGUCCACGCCCUAAACGAUGUCAACUGGUUGUUGGACGGCUUGCUGUUCAGUAACGAAGCUAACGCGUGAAGUUGACCGCCUGGGGAGUACGGCCGCAAGGUUGAAACUUAAAUGAAAUUGACCGGNNGAGAGNGCGACGACGACGACGAGGGAGGAGG
rnacentral:rRNA from 1 species